AACUGCAUCUGAAACUGUUAGGCUAGAGUAGGUGAGAGGGAAGUAGAAUUUCAGGUGUAGCGGUGAAAUGCGUAGAGAUCUGAAGGAAUACCGAUGGCGAAGGCAGCUUCCUGGCAUCAUACUGACACUGAGGCUCGAAAGCGUGGGUAGCAAACAGGAUUAGAUACCCUGGUAGUCCACGCCGUAAACGAUGUCUACUAGUCGUUGGGUCCCUUGAGGACUUAGUGACGCAGCUAACGCAAUAAGUAGACCGCCUGGGGAGUACGGCCGCAAGGUUAAAACUCAAAUGAAUUGACGGGGGCCCGCACAAGCGGUGGAGCAUGUGGUUUAAUUCGAUGCAACGCGAAGAACCUUACCUGGUCUUGACAUAUCUAGAAUCCUGCAGAGAUGCGGGAGUGCCUUCGGGAAUUAGAAUACAGGUGCUGCAUGGCUGUCGUCAGCUCGUGUCGUGAGAUGUUGGGUUAAGUCCCGCAACGAGCGCAACCCUUGUCCUUAGUUACCAGCGGGUUAAGCCGGGAACUCUAAGGAUACUGCCAGUGACAAACUGGAGGAAGGCGGGGACGACGUCAAGUCAUCAUGGCCCUUACGACCAGGGCUACACACGUGCUACAAUGGUAGGUACAGAGGGCAGCUACACAGCGAUGUGAUGCGAAUCUCAAAAAGCCUAUCGUAGUCCAGAUUGGAGUCUGCAACUCGACUCCAUGAAGUAGGAAUCGCUAGUAAUCGCGGAUCAGAAUGCCGCGGUGAAUACGUUCCCGGGCCUUGUACCACCCCCUUUAAAGGGAGCA
rnacentral:rRNA from 1 species